GGAAAAGGGGCUGAACUGAGUUGAACGAAUCAGAGAUAGACUCAUAGUGCUAGGAUACGUCGGAUUUGAGCCGGAGAUAGUCGCAGAACUCGAAUCGGAGGAGAUAUGAGCCAAGGUCUACAAGUUCAAUCCUUGAAUCUUCAAGGGACAAGGGCAUGAAGGUGCAUGGGGGUGAGUACAGUCCACCCAAGGCUUGGGAGGCCAUUGAUUCUGGUGAAAUAAGAUGUAAAUCAGCGGGGUAGGGCUAGGGUUUCAGAGAGGGUUAGAGAGGGAUUGAGAGGACGAAAGAGUUU
rnacentral:lncRNA from 1 species